GAUGAAGAACGCAGCGAAAUGCGAUACGUAAUGUGAAUUGCAGAAUUCAGUGAAUCAUCGAAUCUUUGAACGCAUAUUGCGCUCUCUGGUAUUCCGGAGAGCAUGCUUGUUUGAGUAUCAGUAAACACCUCAACUUCCAUAUCUUUUUUGAAAUGGGAGUUGGACUUGAGUGAUCCCAACGCUUUUCCUCACCGAAAAGUGGCGGGUUGCUUGAAAUGCAGGUGCAGCUGAACUUUUCUCUGAGCUAUAAGCAUAUCUAUUUAGUCUGCCUAAAAAACAGAUUAUUACCUUUGCUGCAGCUAACAUAAAGGAGACUAGUUCUUGUGCUGACUGAUGCAGGAUUCACAGAGACAGCUUCGGCUGACUUUGUAAACUCGAUCUCAAAUCAAGUAAGACUACCCGCUGAACUUAAGCAUAUCAAUAAGCGGAGGA
rnacentral:misc_RNA from 1 species